rnacentral:ncRNA from 1 species
ACAUAGUAAGGAUUGACAGAUUGAGAGCUCUUUCUUGAUUCUAUGGGUGGUGGUGCAUGGUCGUUCUUAGUUGGUGGAGCGAUUUGUCUGGUUAAUUCCGAUAAUGAAUGAGACCUCAGCCUACUAACUAGCUAUGUGGAGGUUCCCGUUCAUGGCCAGCUUCUUAGAGGGACUAUGGUCGUUUAGGCCAUGGAAGUUUGAGGCAAUAACAGGUCUGUGAUGCCCUUAGAUGUUCUAGGCCGCACGCGCGCUACACUGAUGCAGUCAACGAGUUUUUUUCCCUGGUUCGAGAGGAUCGGGAAAUCUUCUCAAAUUGCAUCGUGAUGGGGAUAGACCAUUGCAAUUAUUGGUCUUCAACGAGGAAUUCCUAGUAAGCAUGUGUCAUCAGCUCGUGUUGACUACAUCCCUACCCUUUGUACACACCGCCCAUCGCUCCUACCGAUUGAAUGAUCCGGUGAAGUGUUUGGAUCGUGUCAACGAGGGUGGUUCGUCGUCGACGAUGUCGUGAGAAGUUCACUGAACCUUAUCAUUUAGAGGAAGGAGAAGUCGUAACAAGGUUACCGUAGGUGAACCUGCGGUAGGAUCAUUG